GACGAACGCUGGCGGCGUGCUUAACACAUGCAAGUCGAACGGAAAGGCCCUGCUUUUGUGGGGUGCUCGAGUGGCGAACGGGUGAGUAACACGUGAGUAACCUGCCCUUGACUUUGGGAUAACUUCAGGAAACUGGGGCUAAUACCGGAUAGGAGCUCCUGCUGCAUGGUGGGGGUUGGAAAGUUUCGGCGGUUGGGGAUGGACUCGCGGCUUAUCAGCUUGUUGGUGGGGUAGUGGCUUACCAAGGCUUUGACGGGUAGCCGGCCUGAGAGGGUGACCGGCCACAUUGGGACUGAGAUACGGCCCAGACUCCUACGGGAGGCAGCAGUGGGGAAUAUUGCACAAUGGGCGGAAGCCGGAUGCAGCAACGCCGCGUGCGGGAUGACGGCCUUCGGGUGGGAAACCGCUUUCGCCUGUGACGAAGCGUGAGUGACGGUAAUGGGUAAAGAAGCACCGGCGAACUACGU
rnacentral:rRNA from 1 species